AGCUGCGGCGCGGAUGUAUCCGCGUCAUGCGCAGUGCGACAGACUCGCCGCUGGGGGGAGCCCCGACACCGGCCGCCGCCGACGACGGCGCCGUCACAGUGUGACACCCUCGGGGAGGAGGGUUUGAGGCGGAAAAGCAUUGAGAGGAGGAGCCGGGGAGAGGAGGGGGGAGGGCAGGAGCAGGCGGCUGGAAAUGGAGUAAGAGGAAGAAGGCUGGUCGGGAGCGAUCUGUGGUCCGCGCCUCGACACGCUGCGGGAUCGCGAUAAAACAAGCACAUCCCCGGGCACGGAGCUCCGCGAGACGCCGAGAAGAAGCGCAGAUACGGAGGGACGAGUGGAAAGGCAGGGCGGAGAGUGCGCAAGGCUGGCCUACGGGCACGGCGCUGGGCGCCCUGCUUUGAACAAAAAAAGGCAAAAAGAUCGGGGGGAGAGAGCGAGAGACGCAGAAGAUCCGCGGCUGGCAGCGGCGCAUCUGGAAGUGUCUGCCGCAUCUGGUCUCAGCCUCCUGCCCGCAUCAGCCUGGGUGACCCCCACGACCUCCCGGACCCACAGAAGCCCGUUUAGACACAGGAUCUUAACCAAAUCUCACUGUGGAGGUUGAUCUCCUUAGCUUGAGGCCGUUUUCUUGCACGUGUGUGUGUGUGUGUGUGUGUAUGUGUACAUGUAAGCGUGUGCGAGCCGAACGGAGAGAACAAACGAGCGUGACCAGAGUCCUAGCGUCUCUCGGAGGGCAUGACCCACGGUGACCCAGGUAAGUGGCCGACAUCUCCUCUCAUGUACCCCAGCUGCCACUCAGGCGACGAGGACGAACGGACCGAACCCCGUGAGACUGUGAUGAUGGCUGUAGAGAGUCACACUGCUAAACAUCUCCAGCCUUGUGUCUCUCAUUGUUUGGUGAUUAGGGUUAUUUUAGGGAUACUGCCCCCCCCCCACCCCCCAUGCAUUUCAGUCUAGCUUGGCUGGGACCUUGCUCUUAAAAACAAAAUGUCC